CCUACGGGAGGCAGCAGUGGGGAAUUUUGGACAAUGGGCGCAAGCCUGAUCCAGCCAUGCCGCGUGUGUGAAGAAGGCCUUCGGGUUGUAAAGCACUUUCGGCCGGAACGAAAUCGCCUUUGUUAAUAGCGAGGGUGGAUGACGGUACCGGAAGAAGAAGCACCGGCUAACUACGUGCCAGCAGCCGCGGUAAUACGUAGGGUGCGAGCGUUAAUCGGAAUUACUGGGCGUAAAGGGUGCGCAGGCGGCGUCGCAAGUCAGGCGUGAAAUCCCCGGGCUUAACCUGGGAACUGCACUUGAAACUACGAUGCUGGAGUAUGGCAGAGGGAGGUGGAAUUCCACGUGUAGCGGUGAAAUGCGUAGAGAUGUGGAGGAACACCGAUGGCGAAGGCAGCCUCCUGGGCCAAUACUGACGCCCAUGCACGAAAGCGUGGGGAGCAAACAGGAUUAGAUACCCUGGUAGUCCACGCCCUAAACGAUGAUGACUAGUUGUUGGAGGAGUUAAAUCCUUUAGUAACGCAGCUAACGCGAGAAGUCAUCCGCCUGGGGAGUACGGUCGCAAGAUUAAAACUCAAAGGAAUUGACGG
rnacentral:rRNA from 1 species